ACUCAAAUGAAUUGACGGGGGCCCGCACAAGAGGCGGAGCAUGUGGCUUAAUUCGACGCAACGCGAAGAACCUUACCAAGGCUUGACAUGCAUGGGAUCGCUGCAGAGAUGUGGUUUCUUUUUGUCCGUGUACAGGUGGUGCAUGGCUGUCGUCAGCUCGUGUCGUGAGAUGUUGGGUUAAGUCCCGCAACGAGCGCAACCCUUGUUCUGUGUUGCCAGCGCGCCUUUCGGGGUGGUGGGGACUCACAGGAGACUGCCGGGGUCAACUCGGAGGAAGGUGGGGAUGACGUCAAGUCAUCAUGCCCCUUAUGUCUUGGGCUGCACACGUGCUACAAUGGCCGGUACAGUGAGUUGCGAUGCCGUGAGGUGGAGCGAAUCUCUAAAAGCCGGUCUCAGUUCGGAUUGGGGUCUGCAACUCGACCCCAUGAAGUUGGAGUCUCUAGUAAUCGCAGAUCAGCAUUGCUGCGGUGAAUACGUUCCCGGGCCUUGUACACACCGCCCGU
rnacentral:rRNA from 1 species